ACGGAGAUGAAUCCCCAGAAGACGAUCAGCAACAGAGAGAGGCCAAGUUCCGCAACUGUUAACAGAGACUCCAUUGCCGGUGCUCCCUAGAUUUUCAGAUCUGUUUUGCUUCACGAGGGGGAGAGAGAGAGAGAGAGAAGAAGGGAGGUGGAAUGAAUCCGUGAAGAAUAAGCAAAGAAAGCUUAAAGUUUUUAUUGAUUUAAUCCGUGAAGUGAGUGUAAAGGAUUUGAUUGAUUGAUUGUGAAGAUAAUUCAAACCCUAAUUCGAUUUUUGACUUUUGAGGUUAAAGACAUUUUGGUUUGACUUUCCCAAUUUAAGUUCUCUUCCGGUCGGUUCUUUUUUUAGCAAUGUUUACUUAACCGGAUUAAACCGAAAACACGUCCAUUUAACCGUAUUGAACUUGAAAAACCAAGUCCAAUAUGUGAUUAUUAUCGGUCUCUUAACAUCUGUGAUAGUCAUUAGCCUAUUCAGAUAUUUCGACUGAACCGGAAAUGAGAUGUCUUAGCACAUGUAAUUAGUGUAAGAAAUAGAUCAUAACAGUGAAACUUGCUUACAAGUUAAAAUAAACUCUCCCAAAAGACAAAAUCAUACAACGGUGGAAGUAAGAACUACUUGAGAAAGACUACAAGGGCCACAACAGCCACAACAGUUGUGGUGAUACCAAGCCAUUCCUUUCGCACUGACGAUUUGAUUUGUCUAAAACAAUGGGAAGUUUUGGGCUCGUCCAGUUUCCUAAAUCCAAAUGUUCUAAUUUCCUGUCCAAAAGAAGCUGAACCUCGAAUUGGGAGUAAAUUUUCGACAAAAGGAGCUAUAAUGCCACCAAAAGUACCUAUGCCACGGACUAAGCCCGUAUUUGAACAGUACUUAUGCAACUUCUUCUCUUGAUCAUAAAAGUAGAGAUUCCCUCCCUUGGAAACCGCCAGUGGCAUGCACCAAUGCCACCAGUGACUACAUCUAGAUAUGAAACUGCUACGGGUGGAAGAGGAUAAAUGAAAGGAGUAAGCGAUGCUCCAUGUUUCAUCUCGUGCAUCCAUUCUCCAUAUGCAAAACCCUAAAACCAGGCUCCCCAAUAUCCUUUGCGGCUACGACUAGACGGUCUUCGAGGUUAGCUAUCUGCCCUGACUUGCAGAACCGAGGCGGUGUCUUUACGCUACGAAACUCUUCAGUGUGCAGAUCCAACGCAAGUAUCUUCUGAGUCUUGUCAUAACAAUCUACUUCUAACCAGUAGAUGGAUCCAUUCACAAACGCCGACUUCAAUCUCUCUCCCACAUAGAAAAGAGGCUUACUCUUCAGUCUCCUCCAUACCCCAAUGUUAAUAUCAAGAAUCUCGCAGUAACUAUAGUUAGGCUCCAAGCACAUCCUCACUACCUUAUAGCUCCCGUUAACUAUGUCCCUACCGAAUCCCAUCCUCCAGUAUCCAGGAAACACUUCAAAACCCCUUCCUGCAAUUUCAAUUUUCUCCUCAAAUUAUCAAUUUUUUUACUUUGAUACAAGUCAAUUAUCAGAUUAUAUAGACUUACUGGAUACGUCGUCGAGGACGUUGGUUAUCUUCGGUGGAAGGAUUCAAAACGUUGAUCCAGCCUGGCACGGGCAUGCAAACCAGACCGUCACAGGACAGCGACGGUCGUCUGGAGAAACCACUGUCCUCCUCCUGCCCUUUGGGGAAAUCACAGUCUAGAUAGACCAUCUCGACCUCUUCGUCGUCGUCCUUCACAACCACCUCUGGAUUAAUGUUUAAGAGCAAAGCGGCGGCCACGAAUUGCAUCUUCGUUUGUUUUUUUUUGGAUAAUGAUACGCCUCCUCUCCGAGAAGCUCCUCGACUCCAGUAGUGAUCUCCACUGCUUUGAGACGGUUUUGAAUUUGAGGAUAGAUUCCAACGGAAGUCGAAGAAGAACUUCUUCCUCUAGAUCCAAACCUAGCUCUUUCAUCAUCGGAAGGAGAUGAUUUCUUCUCUCUUCUCACCCAAUCUCUCCUUUAACACACUAACCCCAAACAAAUAAUGUAAACCCAUCGUCUCAAAACAAAAAGUCUCCAUGAAAACAGAGCAAUUACAUUGACUACUAGAGAAGCAAAGAGCAAAUGAGAUUAAAAAAAAUUAACCUGUGUAUCUCGAAUUCCAGAACCAGCAGCCAACAAGACCACAAGAUGGAAACCUUUCAUCAAAAAGUUGCGAUACCACUUCCUCUGAAAUAGAAAGACUGGAGUCAUUUAGCACAUGCAUCCAAGACACAUAUUACAAGCAUAUGUACAUGCAUCUGUGUGUCUAUCUAGAAUUUUGUAAAACUUAACUGUAGCAAGAGCUUUCUCCUCGAGAUGAGCACGAGAACCAAAUGCUGAUACUUGCACAUCACCUAUUUUAAAAGCCACAUUCUUUAGUGCUGGAUCUCUGAUUGAAUUUUCUUCUCUAGCUACUGCAUGAAUCUGAGAGGAUACACGAGAUCAGGAUAUUUGUAAUAAACAGUUUCCAGAUUGUCUGAAAUUUCAAGAGCAGAAACUAAAGACAAACCUGAUUUUCAAGUUUUUCAAGGUCUGUGAUUUUAGUUGCACCAUCAGCAUCCAACAUGAGAAGUAGUUCACCACGCGAAUGCAUCAUUCCCUAUUUAAUGCUUUCAUAGAAUGUAGAAAGCAUUGGUUAUUUCUUUUUUUUUCCACCAUGAAAUGGUAAGUAAGAUAGAGUUGCAUGCGACUACUAGGAGUUGAACUCACAGUUCUUAUAGCUUCUCCUUUCCCUUGAUUCUUCCCAAGGGGUAUAAACCUUAUGUUGUCAACUGUAUACUUUUUGACGAAAUCAAAAGCUACUCUUUUUGUUCCAUCCACGCUUCCAUCAUCAACAAUCACCACCUACAAAAGAGAAAACAAUAUAAAACGGUGCAGAUUAAUUGAGUGAUUCAGUAUGAUAUCGACAUACUAGCAAGGUGAACUAAUUAAACCGACAAAAAACUUGAUAAGUUCAUUCAUAUUCACCAUCACAAAGGCCAUAUAUAUAGGUAGUGAAUCAACCUUAAUGGACUGAAGAAAGAUAAAACAAGAAACUAUUUACCUCAUAAGAAAAACUCUUAUCCCGUGAUGCACGACCUUGAAGGUAACUGCAAAUCAUAGGAGAAUUACAGUAAGCAUAAAUAUUAGACUUGUGUGGUUUUGCAAGAGAAGCAAACUUCUCACAAAUUGGAACUAAGUUCUGUCAAGAGGGAGUUUGUAAAGAAGUGAAAUUAAACUUAACUUACUCCAUUGUCUCCUCAAGAGCAGCAGGAAGUCUCUGCUCUUCGUUAAAAGCUGGAACAAUUAAUGAUAGAUACUUCUCCGCAGGGUCGGAGAUAUGAGGGCAGGGAACCUGAUGAUAGAAAAGCUGCUUAAAACCUACAUUCACAACCAGAGGAGACGCGAUUCUCUCUACAAACAGCUGAAUCUAAAAGCCUCACCACUCCAGACAGUGUAAAAAAAAGAGAGCUAAUUUCCGACACAUAACUGGUUAAACAAAACUCCUACAUAAUCUCAAAUUUCGACACAACUGCUUAGACCAAACUCCUACAUAAUCUCAAAGCUCUCUUCUUAAACACUCUACAGAAACAAAAUAACUGUCACAAUCAUUCUUAGCCACACACACACACACUAACAGUCAAUAACAGAUUCUUUAUAAAAUUCCGAAACGAUAAUAAAUCAGACGAGAUACCUGUUUUAAGGAUGUCGGAUCCUCGAGUGUAGUCACGGUCUCCACAGGACUGGUGAUUAUAUAUAAACAAAUCAAAAUCCAGGAUACGAUACAGUUAUAGAGGAAAUGGAGUGAGAAAACGUACACGUUACUGUGUCUCCUUCUCCAAGCUUCAAAGACGACGACGGAGAUGAAUCCCCAGAAGACGAUCAGCAACAGAGAGAGGCCAAGUUCCGCAACUGUUAACAGAGACUCCAUUGCCGGUGCUCCCUAGAUUUUCAGAUCUGUUUUGCUUCACGAGGGGGAGAGAGAGAGAGAGAGAAGAAGGGAGGUGGAAUGAAUCCGUGAAGAAUAAGCAAAGAAAGCUUAAAGUUUUUAUUGAUUUA
rnacentral:lncRNA from 1 species